rnacentral:lncRNA from 1 species
CCGACACAUGCCAGUUUGGGGUGGGAGGAAGGGAGUCUGGGAGAGGAAUGUGGGUAGGAGUGGUCAGACUCAACGACAGCUGCUUCCAGGGAGAGCAUGCAUUCAAGCCCUCACAGGAAGCAAAGGAGUACAGGGUCCUCAGUCGAAGCCCCAAGUCCCUCCAUCCCACGGACUUUGGCGGGGCAGCCUGAGGUUAUUGAGCCUGAGGAAGUUGGGUAAUGAAGGCACUGUACUCUCCCUCCCUGACCCCAGAUCAGGGGUUACAAAGAUGAAUGACUCCAAACCCAACCUCAACCAAUUGACAGUCUACCAUGCUCUAAGUGAACUGUGAUGGCUGAAAACAAGAAGUCGGGGGAAGGUCAGUUCAAAGAGCAUGGCAGGUAGGGUGACUGUCCUCAUUUUAACUUGAAAACUCGUAUACAUCAGGAAGCCACUGCUUACCAGGCAAGCCUCAUGGUCCAUCAUGCUAGUGGUGGGACGAUCCAGGGAAGCACUCAACCUUGUCUCACCAAACCUUGGAGGGUUUGCCAAAUUUCCUUGGCCAAACUGGGGAAGACCUUCUAUUGUAGGGAUUGGAAGACUUGUGGAGAGAUGGCAGAAGGCCUUUUAUCUCAGGGAACAGAGCCACUGCCUUGCAGAAGUACCUCUCUUCUCACUCCCCCUUUUCCUGACUCCCAUUGCUUGAGGGUUCAGAUCUGGUAAGUCUUGGCAGAUACUGUUCAGAUCCCUCAAAACAAGCGGGAAAGCAGACAUAGCCAAUGCUUCUCAAGAUCCUUCCAGCUCUUCUCUCCUCAGCCAAGCCCUUGGGCUCUCUACCAGGAGAACUUGUUCUACCCACAAGAUGAAGGAUGGCCACCUCGUUCCUACAUACUUUGGCUGCCUUGGAACCAUCACAGGACUGAUUGACUUGCCUGUAUGAUAUAGCCAUCUCAACACUGGCCUGUGUGGAUGUGUUUGCUGGAUAGACACCAUUUAGUUGCCUGAGGAGAUCCAAGAUGAUUUUGUUUUUCUCCAUGAGAGAACCUCUUUCCCAGGGAGGCCACAGCCUUUUUCCGUGCUCUGAAGAACCUAGAAAACUACUUGGACUGCAUCUCUUCUGUUGUCCUCUAAGUGCUAGUCCAAUACUUCCUGUCUGAACCAGCCCCUGUGCUGUGCAGAGCCCAUUAUGGAAAGGUGAAUGAUGUUAAAUCAGGAGGACACUUGUCUAGCUUUCCAGAGCAUCUUUCCCCCACGCAAGUCACUUUGGGGAAGGUGACAUCUGAAUUCUCUGGGUCUGUAUUUCAUCUUCUAAUAGUAGACUGUUGGAGAUGCACUGGGAAAAAUAUCUUAAUGUUUGCUCUGAAGCCUCUCCCAGGAAGGAAAGGACACGGAAAGGAUCCAAGCAUUCACGCGGAAGUGGUGGCAAUACACACUGUCAUUGUUAAACCCGGCAACAGGAAGUGGGAUGAUGGAAGCGUCUGGAUAAUUCGAUCCAGCGGAGCUGCGUGGUCUUUGGCUUGGGAUUCAGACGCUCACUCAUUGGAUGAGGUGUGUAGCCCACCUAACUAUGAAGCCCUUUCUUGAUGGAGCCAUCAUGAGAAGAGCUGCAGAAGCACACCCUGAGGAAAGCUAUCCCCGGCUCGCUGGGUGGAUCCAACUGAUGGUGGACCCAAUUUUCUGAAUGGCUGGAGCUUCACAGAACACUGUUGCUUGUUAAUGUUCAGACACCGACCGCACUGGGAAGAGUCAUUGCUCGUGUCAACUCAUCAAGUAGUCUAAACAAGCCUGUUGGAGGCUGGCCAGCUCCGGACAGUCAUUGACCACAGAUGCGAUCUGGAAGCCCAUUACAACUUGUGGAAGCGAAAGGCUGUGUUUGACACGGUGGGAGUGAUGUGUAAGAUUCAGUGAAUGAAUGAAGGAAGGGAAGAAAGUCUGUUGAAGACAGAUGGGGUCAAGGACAUGGUUAAAUGUAUCACAGUGCUGGGUACUUUGAAGUCAUGUGCAGCCCUUCAUAGGAUGAAGCAGAUCUACAAGAAUUUAAAGAACAGCAUUGAGAUCACCAACAGGAUGCUGCUGCGUUGUUUGACCCCAAGCUGUGUAUUGCACUCUUUCCCAGAAGUUCUACAAGGAUGAGGACUUCAGGAAACUCCUUCCUUUCCUUCCAUUCAGAGGUUCAAUCCAUUGUCAUCAUGGUAGGGAGCAUGGUGGCAUGCAGGCAGACAUGGUGCUGGAGAAGUAACUAAGAGCUCUACAUCUGGAUCCACAGGCAGCAGGAAGACACGGUGAGCCAGUGGGCCUGACUUGGACUUUUGAAACCUCAAAGUGCACCCUCAGUGACACACUUCUGCCAACAAGACCACACCUCCUAAUCCUUACCAAGUUGUAUCCACUCCCUGAUGACAAAGCAUUCAAACAUACCAGUCUAUGGAGCCAUCCUUUUUUUUUUUUUUUUUAAAUGGGGGCCAUUCUUCUAUUCUUAUUCAGAGCACCACAAAAUUUGUUUUGGAAAAGAAGACAUUUGAGAAAGGGGCUGAAGGAUGUAACAGAGUGAAUCCUGUGUACGUAGAGGGAAAGCAUUUCAGAAAGUACAAACACAUGUGUCAUUCCAAGGGAGGGGCAUGCUGUCUACGGAGGGCCAUGGAGGACGUCAGUGUGCUUCUCAUCUUUCUAUGGCUGUGACAAAUAUACCUGAAAGAGACAACCGAAAAGAAGGAAUCUUUCAUUCUGACUCAUUUCCCCCCCAAACGUUUCAGUCAGUGGUUUGUUAACCCUGUUGCUUUUGAACCCAUGAUCUUGGUAUGUCACAGUGGAAGCCCAGGCCGUGGGAUGCUUGGCCAUCUCAUGGUGAUACAUAAACAAAAAGAGAAGUUUGUGCAACUCCUGAAACCUAGGCUGCAUCCACUAACCUUCACCUUUUAAAAGCUCUACAGGGUCCUGAUGGUGCCACAGGAGGGGGCUGAUCACUGAAGCAUGACCUUUGGAGGACUCUAGGUCUAAACUAUAGUGACCAUCAUGGCCAGAGACCAAUGUGGUAAUCUGGAAAGAAACGAGGGAGACAGAUCAGAGAAACCAAACCGUCACUGAGAAUGUUUGGCUGUAGGUGAAAGCAUGGCUGAGUAACGUUGAUAAUGUAGAUUCCGUGCCCGAUCUUAACCCUAGGCACCCUUUGAUGUUGUAAAUGAGCAAAGCCGCAGGAAACAGCUGUUUGGUCCCUUGAAUGACAACUGGCAGAUACUUCCCUCAUGCCCAGCUGCCUUGAGCAUGGAGCAUGCAGCUCCUUCCUUCACUACCUUAUUUGUUCAUUCCAUGAUUGCUCUGAGGAAGCACCACUCUAGCUAGGAAACCCACUCCAACUGCAGCUGCUGUGGAAGUUGUGACUCCAGAGUGAGAGGUCCUAUUUUAGGCAUGACUGCUUCGGGAACCUUGCAUCUGCUUUGGAAGAGUCCACCACAGGUAAAAAGCAGCCACAGAGAACUCUGGAUGACCCUACACUUUCUCAUGCAGGGAAGGAAUGGGAAUGCCUUGCCCUCUGGCUUAUCUAAGUACCCCCACUCCCUCAUCGGUAGAAAUGGAAGCCAUGUAUGUUCAGGACUGUGGCUGGUGAAACGGCAACCUUAACUAUGC